rnacentral:rRNA from 1 species
CCUACGGGAGGCUGCAGUGGGGAAUAUUGGACAAUGGGCGAAAGCCUGAUCCAGCCAUGCCGCGUGUGUUAAGAAGGCCUUCGGGUUGUAAAGCACUUUCAGUGGGGAAGAAAGCCUUGGGGCUAAUACCCUCGAGGAAGGACAUCACCCACAGAAGAAGCACCGGCUAACUCCGUGCCAGCAGCCGCGGUAAUACGGAGGGUGCGAGCGUUAAUCGGAAUUACUGGGCGUAAAGCGCGCGUAGGCGGUCUGAUAAGCCGGUUGUGAAAGCCCCGGGCUCAACCUGGGAACGGCAUCCGGAACUGUCAGGCUAGAGUGCAGGAGAGGAAGGUAGAAUUCCCGGUGUAGCGGUGAAAUGCGUAGAGAUCGGGAGGAAUACCAGUGGCGAAGGCGGCCUUCUGGACUGACACUGACGCUGAGGUGCGAAAGCGUGGGUAGCAAACAGGAUUAGAUACCCCAGUAGUC